rnacentral:rRNA from 1 species
AGAGUUUGAUCAUGGCUCAGAUUGAACGCUGGCGGCAUGCUUUACACAUGCAAGUCGGACGGCAGCACAGAGAAGCUUGCUUCUUGGGUGGCGAGUGGCGAACGGGUGAGUAACGCAUCGGAACGUACCGAGUAGUGGGGGAUAACUGUCCGAAAGGAUGGCUAAUACCGCAUACGCUUUGAGAAGGAAAGCGGGGGAUCUUCGGGCCUCGCGCUAUUCGAGCGGCCGAUGUCUGAUUAGCUAGUUGGUGGGGUAAAGGCCUACCAAGGCGACGAUCAGUAGCGGGUCUGAGAGGAUGAUCCGCCACACUGGGACUGAGACACGGCCCAGACUCCUACGGGAGGCAGCAGUGGGGAAUUUUGGACAAUGGGCGCAAGCCUGAUCCAGCCAUGCCGCGUGUCUGAAGAAGGCCUUCGGGUUGUAAAGGACUUUUGUCAGGGAAGAAAAGCUUUGGGUUAAUACCCUGGAGUGAUGACGGUACCUGAAGAAUAAGCACCGGCUAACUACGUGCCAGCAGCCGCGGUAAUACGUAGGGUGCGAGCGUUAAUCGGAAUUACUGGGCGUAAAGCGAGCGCAGACGGUUUGUUAAGCAGGAUGUGAAAUCCCCGGGCUCAACCUGGGAACUGCGUUCUGAACUGGCAGGCUAGAGUAUGUCAGAGGGGGGUAGAAUUCCACGUGUAGCAGUGAAAUGCGUAGAGAUGUGGAGGAAUACCGAUGGCGAAGGCAGCCCCCUGGGAUAAUACUGACGUUCAUGCUCGAAAGCGUGGGUAGCAAACAGGAUUAGAUACCCUGGUAGUCCACGCCCUAAACGAUGUCAAUUAGCUGUUGGGGUGCUUGACACCUUAGUAGCGUAGCUAACGCG